rnacentral:rRNA from 1 species
AACGAACGCUGGCGGCAUGCCUAACACAUGCAAGUCGAACGAGACCUUCGGGUCUAGUGGCGCACGGGUGCGUAACGCGUGGGAAUCUACCCUUGGGUUCGGAAUAACAGUUAGAAAUGACUGCUAAUACCGGAUGAUGACGUAAGUCCAAAGAUUUAUCGCCCAAGGAUGAGCCCGCGUAAGAUUAGCUUGUUGGUGGGGUAAUGGCCUACCAAGGCGACGAUCUUUAGCUGGUCUGAGAGGAUGAUCAGCCACUCUGGGACUGAGACACGGCCCAGACUCCUACGUGAGGCAGCAGUGGGGAAUAUUGGACAAUGGGCGAAAGCCUGAUCCAGCAAUGCCGCGUGAGUGAUGAAGGCCUUAGGGUUGUAAAGCUCUUUUACCAGGGAUGAUAAUGACAGUACCUGGAGAAUAAGCUCCGGCUAACCCCGUGCCAGCAGCCGCAGUAA